rnacentral:lncRNA from 10 species
UCUGAAGCCUUUAACUUUCUGUGAAGGACUGAGAAUAAAAAUUAUUUUGCAGAUGGGGCUACCAGAGGAUAUUUGUCAUGGGCUUAAGAUUAUUUCAUGAAGGUUCACACUGAAACACAGCUCUUCCUGGGUCAUGAGCCUGCUGGUCUUCAGAUUGGAACUACACUAUCAGCUUUCCUGUGUCUCCAGCUUGCUGACUGUGAAUCUUUGGACUUGGGACUUGUCAGCCUCCAUAAUUUAUUGAGCCAAUUUGGUAUAAUAAAUCUCUCUCUC